CCGCCGCCACCACCGCCUCCACCGCCACCACCUCCUCCAGGAGCAGCCGGCGGCUCCGGCAGCGAGGACAGGACGGGGAGCAGCCCUCCCUCCGGAGCGGGGGCUGGCGGGGUAACUGUUCAACAGUGCUGUGCUGCCAGAAAUGCUCGCUGAGCCCGUGCAAGGAGGAAAUCUUACCCGAACCGCUGAGAUUAUCCCAGACAGACCCUUUGCAGAUUGACUCCGCAUCCUCAGAGCUGAUCUGAUCGGGGCCUACCAAAGACAUUAACGACGUCGAAAGUAGCCUACUUUAAGAGAAAAUAUGCAGAAGAAGAACAUUUACAUCAAGAUUACCAUGAGUAUUGUCCAAAACACCUGAUACUACCCGAGGACCGGACUUGUAUUCUAAAACUUUCUCUCCAGAAACUCCGAUUCCUGGAUGACCCUGAAGCCUAUCUCCGUAGGUCUGUAUUAAUUAACAAUCUGUUGAGGAAGAUUCACCUAGAGACAGAGAGGGAGAGCUAUGAAUACUUUAAGGAGGCUCCGUGUUAUAGGACUGCUUACUCUGACGCACGAAAACGGCUGAAGUUUAUGGUGCAGGAGUGCUGUUCCCAGUCGCUCUAUUAUGAAGAGCUGCAUUCGUAUCGCAUCGUGCCUUACUCUGCAGAGAACGCCGUUUACGGAAUGGGCUACACGAGCAGCCACUUGGAGCAAAAUUCUCAAUUGCUUAUUUAUAAAAUGAAUUAAAGUAGCUGUUAGACCCACUGAUGUUUGUUUCUGAAUGCUUGAACUGCUUAUUGAGAUGUUAAGAUGAGGCACUAAUUGCAGAUGUACCUGUGAUCAAAGGCGGAUGUGUUCAGAGCUAAGUGGAAGGUACUUUGACUGAUGUUCUGCAGUCCCCGCUGUUAACCCCCCGGUUAUGAAGUACCUUGACGUACACACAGAGCUGGUGCAAUACGGAGGUCCUUAUCUGCAGAGACUGUGUGCAAUGCGUUUGAUAGAAACAAAGCUGCAUUUAAAUUAUCUGUGUGUAGAUAGACAUUCAAAAUCACUUUGCAGUUCAAUUAGGCCAUCCCCGGUGGAAGGGGAGCCCCCAAAGCGGUGGAGUAGUCUGAAAGUGAGUAGUAAAAUGCAAGUUAUUUACUGUAAAGGUAUAGGUAGAAAGUUUCUUUGAGAAAUGCUUUGACCAUGGAGGAGCCAGUGCCAAAGGAAACAGCCUUUUGCUUAGGAUUUUCAGAGACUUAACUUGCUUGCUACUUACAAGACACUCUAUACUGAGAUUUGCAAGGGUUUGUUUUUUUUUUUUUUAAAUAAUUGCAUUCACCUUUUACUUAUAUUAUCUCUUAGCUGGUAUCUACUUUGCUAUUUUAAUACAAUCCAGAAUGAGUCACAAGAAAGAUUGUUUCUUCAGCCUGUCAUCAGUGUUUCCUUAACUUCAUUUGAUUCUUUCCCUAGCUGUUUCCCUGAUACUUCUUUGCAUGCUAAUUUGCUGUUUGGCCAGAGGUUCACGUUGGUGCUAGGGAAUAGACAGUAAUUUCUUUUUAUGUGGAAUAUAAAAGACAGAAAAACAAUGAUAGCUCUCAUAGAUAGAGAAUGAAUGUAUCUGACAGAUGCUAGUAAAACCUCAGAGGUUCUCCUGAUGAAACUGCUCAGCAUUAGUAAUAGUGUUUCAGGUUAAGUGAAAUACCUAAUUUCAAUCUGGGAAUUAACCUUAGAAUAUGUAAAUAUAUAUUUCACAAGCUAUGACAUGAGAGAUGUUCAGCAAAUCGAUGACUACAGGUGGAAAGUUUUAUAGCUGCCAAAGCUAUGUCAUGAAAAUACCAAAGAGUAAUAUAAGGGAAAAGAUGAUGCUCCAGCAAUGGGGUCAAAAGCAAAGAUUGCACUAUAACCUGGGGAAAUGUGACUAACGAGCCUGUAAACUAGCUGUUACCGAUACACCUGCAGUUCACCUGCAGGUGACUUGCAUCCCAGAACUGCUGAACAAAUAUACAAGAUGAUCCAAAGCCUGUUGAAGUCCUACAGGUCUGUUGGCUUAACAGUGAAGAAAUUGGCUUUGCCUUGCUGGCUAUCACCACUUUAAAGCUUUAAAGCAAAAUAAAUAAUAGCGCACACUCAGCUGUAGGCAGAUAUAUAUCCAAAGGCCUAAUUUUUUAUUUUGAAAGGCUUUGCUCAUGCACAUGUGGCUGAUGCUAUUUCUGAAGCAUUAUACGAACAAAUACCAUUGCUUGCCAGGACGUGCUUCACGUAGGAUCCCUCCUGUAACCCUGCUUAGAGCAUCCUAGUUGUGUGUGUCGUACAUAUCAUUGCAGCUCUCAGGCACGUUGUUAGUGCAGGAGAAAAGACAGAAAGGCAAAGGCAGGAGGUGUGAAGAGCAAAGUUGACUCUGGAGUCAGUAGUUAGAAGCCAGUACAGGAUUAGGAGACAGAAGGAAACAAAGAAAUCCAGAUAUUUUUUUAAAUGGGGGAAAAAAAAAAAAAGCAACAGUCUAAUUCAAAACAAAGAUAACCUGCAAACUGGAGAACAUAAACAGCACAGAUAUUGUGGGAAGGCUGGAAAAACAGGGCAGUGCUGUUUGGGAGGUGCUGUUAGUCAAGAUGCAUGUGUUCAGGUUUUUGUUUUUAUUUUGAGACAAGGCAUAUUUACUUGUCUCUUACAAAAGGGUGUCUUUAAACCCUUGGUCAGCGUAAUGUGGUGUCAGAGCUGCCUGGCUAUGUGUGGUUGUGCUCCUGCUGCCCCAGCUUGCCCCAGCCCCAAACGCCGUGAACAAUUAAGCCCACACUGGGGAUAGUUUGCGAGAUCUCCAGCUAAAAGUGGCGCUGCCCAUCUCAACAGGGGCCAGCUGAGAAAGGCCAGGCUAGUUAUCAGUGUGUGGAACAGCCCUAAUAUCACCAGCAAAAGCCAGCAGCGAAACCCAUCGCCCGUGUGGGCUGCUGCUGUGACGGCUCCUGUGAGCCGUGCCGUUGUCCCCCAAAGAGCUCUCCGGCCUCUGCCGGCACUUUGUGUGCCCCGUGCAGACUUAGGGGCUGGGGUAGGGACAUUAGAAGGCUGCUAAGUGGUAAAGGAAAAGUAUUCCUGUCUUCUGAUUUUUCAAAUGAUCUAAUUUUCCACUCUGAUCUGAUUUACGCAUAUUUUUAAUUUGUGUCCAUUUUUGCCUGAAUCAUAUCGUUUAGCAGCUACACAAAAUGCUAAAAUGCUUUUUUUUUCCUUUCACUGAUCUACUUUAUAUAUUCAUAGGGUGGUUCUUGCCUGGAUAAACAAAACUUUUUACAUAAAAUUAAUAAUGUUUCAAUAGAGUAAAAAAUCUCAGUAGGAUUAAAGCCUUUAACAUCACCUGAAAAAACCCCGUUGUCCCUGUCAGAUUCAACUUUGAAGAAUAACUUCUCUGCCUGCUAGAAAAGGCAGAUACUUUCUUACCCAUUGCAAGCUUCUCUGAUAAGGUGUUGCGAUAACUGAGUGGGUAUAACAGACAAAAAUCUGAAUCAGAUAACAAAACUCCUGAAAGAGGAAGAUAUUUUACUCAUGUUUUUCUCAUGUGUUGUUUUCUUGAGCAACAUUGGCUGAUUUUUUUACUUUUACUUACUCUAGGGCUGUUAAAAUGGACAAUUUCUUUCUAGAAAACACAUUGCUUUUUUAUGGCUGACUUUUUGAUAUGAAAUUGAAUCAAAGGUCCGCAUUCUAAAUAUUUAAAGUCUACUCAAGUUUUUACUGCCUUCCGCUUUGCACAGCGAUUUGUGCUGUUGAAAUGUGGGUCUGAAAUAUUCUACUUUAGUGCUUAGAAACCACAAUUUAUGGGGUGAUUGAGAAGUACAAAGGUGCAAUAACAUUGCAAGUUACUCCUGAAAUAUUUAAUUUGACACUUUUUGAAUUAUAUACUGAUUUUAACAUUUGGUUACCAAGUUACUGGGUACCAGCCUUUUAACGCAGCUACAUACACUGAUUUUUCUUCUUUGGGUUUGUAGCUACAAUUCAGCUCUUCUGGCUUCUGAUGUGUGAAUCUGUCUGUAGGUGGUCAACUUUUUCAGUGAGAUAUAUAUAUAUAUUCUAUUACGACUGCAUUAGGAACUCCCACGUAUGGGCUAUGUUUGCACUGGAUGUAAAGCAAGUCCUUCCUUCCCUUUGACUCAGUUGCCUUGGAGAUAGUAGAUUCAUCAGAGGAGAAUAUAGACGAGCUAGGUGACAAAGGACAGACUUGGUAACGAUAGCUGAUCAUUUUGAAAAUGGCUGGCUUAGGACAAUUCAUUUUCGUCUGGGAAUAGCAGCACACUUGACUGUAAUUAGUGUUUCAGUGAGUUACAUUUUCUCUGUGCCGCUUUUCCCUCGCUGGCUGUAAAUGCUGGGCCUGAUCCCAGCUGCAGGAGGGGCGGCGGUGGCUCCGUGGGAGGCAUGGCAGGGGGCAGGGGUGUGGGGUCUCCUGGAGCUGGUGGAGCUGUGGCAGGGGGGUGCACACGCUGGGAGGCAGCCCGGCUCCACAGGGCAGCAUCGCUGCCCGUGUGACCUGGUGCAGGCACCCCGACGCUGUAGGGCCCUGAUCCUGCAAACGCUUCGGUUCUCUGCUGAGUUUCUUUGCACAGACCCUCUCACUGAAGCCAGAGAGGCUCCUUGUGUACUUGAUGCUCAGCAUGUGUACGAGUGCGUGCAGGGCUGGGGCUGCUGCGCACCACAGAUGUACGUACUCCUCCGUUGCCUAAUUAUCGGUGAAAGUGAUUAUUGAGCUGCCGCUUGAGUUCUUGAAUACAUUUAUAUUGCACUGUAAAUGGAACUUUUGUUUUCAAUGAAUGUGUUGAGUAUAUGGACUAUCGUGCCUUAAAGUCCCAUCCUCAUACGAGCCUUUGUAUAUGUUCUGUAAAUCCGCAAACUGUCUAUAGCUGGUAACUCUGUGCACUCUAUACAGAUCUGGUUCAGUACUCGGCAGGACCUUGGGAAACACCAUCCUGACCUCAGUUUCCCAUGAACACAGAGGGGAUACGGCAAUUCCCCUUUCUCUUCUUUUUUAGAUUGCUUUCCUCUUCGCCGUUCAUGAAAUUCGGUUUUUCUGGUUUCUGUCGUAGCUGGGUUCUGGGUUACCUGCAAUGCCAGGCACCCCUCACGGGAACUCAGAAAGUUGUAAAAAAGUUGUCUCCAGCUUUUAAAUGCCAUCUGUACAGCGCGCUCUCAGCAGGGAAUCACAAUUGCAUAUGACAACUGUGGCAGGUGUUGUCAAGUAUAUCAUCAUAUAUUUGACAUGAUUAAUAAAGCAGAAAAGGGAACACCUAUUUCUGUUGAAAUGCAUGAGCCUGCAUUAUGUUAAAUACAUGGUGAUUAUACACCACUUAAUUGGAGUAAUACCUACUGGUUCUAUAAUAAAAAAACGGCUUUUUAAUGUUUAAAAUUACUUGGGACCUGAUUAAAGGUUUUUAUGAAAUUGUUUUCUAAAGUGAAUAGUAAAAAAAUGUAUAUGUAUUUUAAAUAUAUGUAUGAUGUGCAUGUUAUUAAUAAAGAUCUAUUUCUAUUGAA